GGCGGCCCGGUAGUCCAGUGGUUAGCACGUCGGUUUCACAGUGCAGAGGUACCGGGUUCGAUUCCAGCUCCGGCCUCCCUGUGUGGAGUUUGCAUGUUCUCCCCGGGCCUGCGUGGGUUUUCUCCGGGUGCUCCGGUUUCCUCCCACAUUCCAAAAACAUGCGUGGCAGGCUGAUUGAACACUCUAAAUCAGGGGUCACCAAACUUUUUGAGAGUGAGAGCUACUUCAUGUGUCCUGAUUGUGUGAAGGGCUACCAAAUUGAUACGCGUCUGAAAUAACAUUUGUACAAAUUACAUUUAAUAAUAUUAGAACAUUAGCUAGCUAGAUAUAUACUGUAGCUAGCUAGUUAGAUAGCUAAAUAGGUAGCUAUAGAAUCUAUAAUACGGCCCAUGUUUGCAUUUUUAAAUCAUAAUUUCUACGAGCAAAUCACAAUCCUAGCACUGGCGGGCUACUGGUGUGGUCCUCACGGGCUACCUGGUGCUCGCGGGCACCACGUUGGAGACCCCUGCUCUAAAUUGUGUGAGUGUGAGCGCGAAUGGUUGUUCGUCUCUGUGUGCCCUGCGAUUGGCUGGCAACCGAUUCAGGGUGUCCCCCGCCUACUGCCCGAAGACGGCUGGGAUAGGCUCCAGCACCCCCCGCGACCCUAGUGAGGAUCAAGCGGUU